rnacentral:rRNA from 1 species
CCUACGGGAGGCCGCAGUCGAGAAUCAUUCACAAUGGGGGAAACCCUGAUGGUGCGACGCCGCGUGGGGGAAUGAAGGUCUUCGGAUUGUAAACCCCUGUCAUGUGGGAGCAAAUUAAAAAGAUAGUACCACAAGAGGAAGCGACGGCUACCUCUGUGCCAGCAGCCGCGGUAAUACAGAGGUCUCAAGCUUUGUUCGGAAUCACUGGGCGUAAAGCGUGCGUGGGCUGUUUCGCAAGUCGUGUGUGAAAGGCGCGGGCUCAACCCGCGGCCGGCACAUGAUCAGGCGAGACUAGAGUAAGGGAGGGGGAACCGGAAUUCUCGGUGUAGCAGUGAAAUGCGUAGAUAUCGAGAGGAACACUCGUGGCGAAGGCGGGUUCCUGGACAUUAACUGACGCGGAGGCACGAAGGCCAGGGGAGCGAAAGGGAUUAGAUACCCGGGUAGUC